UGAGUGCGAGCUGCUACGGCAGCGAAGUUGGUGAUGUCAUGCUUCCAAGAAAAGCCCUAUACCCGUUAAGGCAUCAUGGCCUGUACCCGAAACCGACACAGGUGGGGUGGUAGAGAAUACCGAGGGGCGCGAGGUAACUCUCUCUAAGGAACUCGGCAAAAUGGCCCCGUAACUUCGGGAGAAGGGGUGCCACCGCAAGGUGGUCGCAGUGAAGAGGCCCAGGCGACUGUUUACCAAAAACACAGGUCUCCGCUAAGUCGCAAGACGAUGUAUGGGGGCUGACGCCUGCCCAGUGCCGGAAGGUUAAGGAAGCUGGUCAGCGCAAGCGAAGCUAGCGACUGAAGCCCCGGUGAACGGCGGCCGUAACUAUAACGGUCCUAAGGUAGCGAAAUUCCUUGUCGGGUAAGUUCCGACCCGCACGAAAGGCGUAACGAUCUGGGCGCUGUCUCGGAGAGAGGCUCGGCGAAAUAGAAUUGUCUGUGAAGAUGCGGACUACGUGCACCCGGACAGAAAGACCCUAUGAAGCUUUACUGUAGCUUGGUAUUGUGCCCGGGCUCGCUAUGCGCAGGAUAGGUGGGAGGCUUUGAUCAUCGGCUUGCGGGUCGAUGUGAGCCAACGGUGAGAUACCACUCUUUGCGAGCUAGGGUUCUAACGGCCACCCGUCAUCCGGGGGCCGGACAGUACCUGGUGGGCAGUUUGACUGGGGCGGUCGCCUCCUAAAAGGUAACGGAGGCGCGCAAAGGUUUGCUCAGGCUGGUUGGAAAUCAGCCGACGAGUGUAAAAGCAGAAGCAAGCUUGACUGUGAGACCAACAAGUCGAACAGGGAGGAAACUCGGCUUUAGUGAUCCGACGGUUCUGAGUGGAAGGGCCGUCGCUCAACGGAUAAAAGUUACUCUAAGGAUAACAGGCUGAUCUCCCCCAAGAGUUCACAUCGACGGGGAGGUUUGGCACCUCGAUGUCGGCUCAUCGCAGCCUGGGGCUGAAGUCGGUCCCAAGGGUUGGGCUGUUCGCCCAUUAAAGCGGUACGCGAGCUGGGUUCAGAACGUCGUGAGACAGUUCGGUCCAUAUCCGGUGCACGCGCAGGAAUAUUGAGAGGAUUUCUCCCUAGUACGAGAGGACCGGGAGGAACGCACCUCUGGUGUACCAGUUAUCGUGCCAACGGUAAACGCUGGGCAGCCAUGUGCGGAGUGGAUAACCGCUGAAAGCAUCUAAGUGGGAAGCCCACCUCAAGAUGAGUAUUCCCAUGGCGUAAGCCAGUAAGGUCACGGGAAGAACACCCGUUGAUAGGCUCUAUGUGGAAGCGCAGUAAUGCGUGAAGCAGAGGAGUACUAAUAGACCGAGGGC
rnacentral:rRNA from 1 species